AUCUGGGCGGCGGAAUUCAGGAUGGCUGGACGGGCUUCGCGCUCGCCCGGCCGUUUGAUAUUUCCGUCGCCGGUGCAGACGUCGCGACCUGUUCGUCGUCGGUCCUUGCUCGGAGGAAUCGCGAUCGAGUUCGUUGCGGGGCGCGUUUCGGCGCGUCUCGCGAUGAAGGCGCGGCUCUCUGGCUGACGACGGACAGUAAGCAACGGUGGCCGGCGCGGUGUCUCGCACUCCGCGUCCGGUGCCGGUCAGCGACGAUUUCUUCGGGCCUCUUUCCGACCCGUCUUGAAACACGGACCAAGGAGUCUAACAUGCGCGCGAGUCGCGGGGUUUCGAGCGUGCCACGGUGCGCUCGUUACUUCCGAAACCCGUACGUUGAAGGCGUAAUGAAAGUGAACAGGGAAGAUGGCGUUCCGAGUCCACGAACCGUGAUCGAGUAUCGCGGCCGGACGCCCGCACUCCCGGGGCGUCUCAAUGGCUCGUCGCGGAUGCGGACGGUCGUUCUUCGGGGCGGCCGUCGGUCUGCGACGGACCGA
rnacentral:rRNA from 1 species